UCUUCUUAUUUUAAUCGUCUGCAUUCACAAGUAAAUUCCCUUAUUUCAAUUUUUUUUUUUAAACCAAAUGACUUCCCUUGAAUGUACGAGUAAUAAAUCUGUAAAAGUUUUAAUAACAGGCAACUUGAGUAAAUAAAAAACUACCUCAGUUUAACAACCCCCCAAAUGAUCCGUUCUCUUGCUAUAUUUCCCCUCCUUUCUCUCUCAGUUUCCAUUGAAGCGCACCCAUCGUACUCCAUUGAAGCGCACUCAAAGUUCUCCAUUGAAGCAGUUUCUAAGGAGGAAGUGGGGUUGUUACUAGUUUAUGAUGUCAAAUUGUACCUUGCUGGUACAACAUCUAACUCACAGGAUGGUGUCACAAUUGUUUUUGGAAAGUGUUUGCUUGUGCUCUAAGACAUGGCUGAGCAAAAUAGUCCUCUCUUGGAAUCGGGGACUUCAAAGAGGAGAAGGCUUAAGUCAAAUUGGAGCUGAAUAAAACAAGUUCUAGAGGAGGUAUGGUCGAACUCUCUGAAAGGUUCGGUCGAACCUUGGGUGUGACCGAACUUGCAUAAGGUUCGACCAAACGUUGAAAGCAAGAACUUUUCAGAUUUCAGCAUUUUGCAGAAGCGGUCGAACACCAGAAGUUCGACCAAACCUGGAGCAGGGAGGUUCGACCGAUCCUACCCACGGUUCGACCAAACCUACGCUGAUGUUCAACUGAACCUACCCUAUGUUUGGUCGAACCUUUUCCCGACUUCAGCCAGCUAUACACGGACUAUAUAAGUCCCGUUUUAGAACGUUUUGAUGUAAUUAGAUUAACUUAGUUCUAAUUUCUUAAUUUUAGCUUAAUCUAGAGAGAGAAAGCACUAUUAGUCAUCAUUUGGUAGAGAGAGAAGGUGUAGAUUUCUUCAUUGAUGAACUUGGAUUUUGAAGAAGGAACUUGUUUGACCUUUGUAGAUCAUCCACUUCAAUUAAUGAGCAAAUUC